rnacentral:miRNA from 1 species
UCUCAGUGUUUGAACCAGAAGC